GUCCUGGUGGUUCAGUGGUAGAAUUCUCACUUUCCACGCGGGAGACCUGGGUUCACUUCCCAGCCCAUGCA
rnacentral:tRNA from 1 species